rnacentral:tRNA from 1 species
GGGAAAGUGGCUCAGUGGUAGAGCUCUUGUCUUGCAUGCAUGAGGCACUGGGUUCGAUUCCUCAGCACCA